rnacentral:rRNA from 1 species
ACGCUGGCGGUAUGCUUAACACAUGCAAGUCGAACGGUCUCUUCGGAGAUAGUGGCGGACGGGUGAGUAACGCGUGAGAAUCUGGCUCUAGGUCUGGGACAACCACUGGAAACGGUGGCUAAUACCGGAUGUGCCUGUGGGUGAAAGGUUAACUGCCUGGAGAUGAGCUCGCGUCUGAUUAGCUAGUUGGUGGUGUAAGGGACUACCAAGGCGACGAUCAGUAGCUGGUCUGAGAGGAUGAUCAGCCACACUGGAACUGAGACACGGUCCAGACUCCUACGGGAGGCAGCAGUGGGGAAUUUUCCGCAAUGGGCGAAAGCCUGACGGAGCAAUACCGCGUGAGGGAGGAAGGCUCUUGGGUUGUAAACCUCUUUUCUCAAGGAAGAAUGAUGACGGUACUUGAGGAAUCAGCAUCGGCUAACUCCGUGCCAGCAGCCGCGGUAAUACGGAGGAUGCAAGCGUUAUCCGGAAUGAUUGGGCGUAAAGCGUCCGUAGGUGGCUGUGUGUGUCUAUUGUUAAAGAGUUUGGCUCAACCAAAUAAGGGCGGUAGAAACUACACAGCUAGAGUGCGUUCGGGGCAGAGGGAAUUCCUGGUGUAGCGGUGAAAUGCGUAGAGAUCAGGAAGAACACCGGUGGCGAAAGCGCUCUGCUAGGCCGCUACUGACACUGAGGGACGAAAGCUAGGGGAGCGAAUGGGAUUAGAUACCCCAGUAGUCCUAGCCGUAAUCGUAUGA